GGCACCUUAACAGAGUGGUUAACGUGUCUGCCUCCAAUCCUUCGGGGGAGGUAGCAGCAUCGGGCGCGCGAGUUCGAAUCUCGCAGGUGCCG